rnacentral:lncRNA from 1 species
GCGUACCAAGCUUUUGCUUCCACUUACUCUUUCAUAACCCUGUCCAUUAUCCAAGAGUCCCAGGGGAAGUGUCAUUAACCAAAAAUACUAGCUCUGUCAUCCUAUGAGUGUUCUCCGCUCAGAAAUCCUCAAGGCUGGAGGUGCUGGACGUGACACCACUGAUCAUGACACACUUAUCCUGAAGCAAAAUGAUGCUGGGCUGGCUGCCUUAUGGGACUCUGGUAAGCAAAGUUCCCAGGAUCUGAGAGGCCAGGAAUGAUCUGAUUCCAUGGUUUAGCCACCCAGCUCCACCUUUGCCAGAGAGAAAGUUGACAUGGCUCUUGUUUUUUUCCAUAGAUCACAAAACCAAAACCAAACAAAACCAGUUGGUCUUUCUAUCUCGAUCCUUACCCUUUCGGCCAGUCUUGUACAGCGUGAGAGGAGACCGGAAGGAAACGUAGGCACUAGAAUAUCUUUUCUUACUCAGAGACCUUUCCUGAGCUCCCACACACACCCUACUGCAACACUGAGGAGGUGUCUGCAGAGGAGCAGAGGGCUGAAAGGAACCUGGGGUGCGUCUGCCUUGUUUUAAAGGCAGUCAUGUGGAAACCUAGAUUGCUGGAGGCGCCUGUCCUUAGGAGGCCGAACUUAGACAGAAGAUGUCUUGACACUCAAGGACUUUAUCCCAUUUUUCUGUCCAGUGUAAGACACGACAGCUUAGUAAGGGGCCUCGUUUUUUUCUCUCCUUUUCAUCCUUUUAUGGAAUCCAGGACUUUUUACCUCCCCCCCGCCCCCCCCACACACACACAUACCAUGAACACUCAGAGAGGCUGAAGCUUGUAUGCGUUCACUCGGAUCGUCAGGAGCAGAAUUGAGAUUUCAACCCAGAUUGACCUGAUUCUAAAGCCUGUGGUCUUUCAGCUGCACUCGUGGUCUCUAAGAGGAGUAGUUGUUCAGGUGACUUGCCUGCAGGAGCUUCUGGGGGCGGGUUGGCAGUAGAGUGACCCCACAGCGUGCACAGGCCUCGCCUUCCUUUCCAGACCCUGCUGGGGUGCCUCACUAUGGCAAGAAAUGCAGUUGACCCUUAAACAACAUGGGUCUGAACGGUGCAAGUCCACCGAGAUGAGGAUUUUUCCCACGGUGAAGGCUCCAGGAUUGCAGGAGUUGGAGCUCGUUGGUGACAGGGAUGUGGAAUUGUGGGUAGGAAGGAACUGUGACUACAAAAGGAUCCAGGAUACAGAGCAAGGGCAGAUUCAGAGGCCAACUCUGCCAACUCUGAGUUACACGCGGAUUUCUGACCAUGCAGAGGGUCAGCGUCCCGACCCCUGCGUUGUUCAGAGGUCAAUUGUAUACAUCUUCGAGUAGCCUGCACAAAAAUCUAAGGUGUGAAAUUCCAGCUCCAAUGGCUACAUCACAGCUUGGGAUGGGGACAAAUAUGUGGCAGGGGGGUAGCCCAAGAACACAGAUCUGUGUCUUAGCCCAGAUCCCCUGAGGGUUUUCUGUGCCUCGUGCCCUGAAAACUGGCUUUGACCACCACCCAGGUGAUUUUUCUCAUCAGGCUACUUUUACAGGCAUAAACCUCCAGCCCAAGCGAAGAAUUCAAGACAUAGGCAAAUAUAUUUGGCAAUAUAUGAAAUAUUUCUCAAAUAUAUGAAAAUCCUUUUGAUGAUCUUUUCACAAGUUUAUUUUUCUGAAAUUCUUCAGCAACAGAGAGGAAGAAAGUAUUGAUCAUUUAUCAGAAAAAAAUUAGUAAAAAGGCAAAUAAAAAGGUUUCGUGACCUCUAAGACACUGGCUGAGGUGGGGGCAGAAACCAAGCCCCUCCUCAGUUUUAUCCCGUGUUGCCACCAUUCACUGAUAAGUUUCCCUAAUGUAACAGUACAAGGAACCGGUUAUGUUAGUGUUAACUAAGCUCUGACCAAACUCAGGACUUCCAGCUUGGAAAGCAAGCAAGAGUUCCUAAGAAAGUCUGGAACUGAAGCAUACCUCUAGGCUUUCGGGAAGACCCUGAUGGAGGCAGCAGUACGAAGUCCUAGGUCAGUAACUGAGGAAUGCUUUCCAGGGCGGUGUGUGUGUGUAUACUGUGUGUGUAGCAUGUAUGUAUAUUGUAUGGGUGGUGUGAGUGUGUGUGUGUGGUGUGUGGCGUGGAUGGGUGUGUGAUGUGUGGGUGUGUGUGUGGUGUGGAGAAGAGGUGGAGGGAGAACAGUGCUGCAGUGGGGUUGGCAUGUCCCCAAGCCCUGCCUCUCGUCCCUCUGCUCUCUGCCCUCCUGCCAUGCCCUUUCUGUGCUGGCAGCCAGGAGCAGCUCGUGGCCUGGGGUCCAGCAAUCAAGACAGGAGAGAAUCAGAGCCCUGGACAUGGCUUGAGGAAAGAAGAUGGAUACAAAACACAAGGACAAAAUGUUUUCCUACAUUUGGAGAAACCGUGACUGCCCACUAAUAAAAAGUCCCCUGACAGCACACUUAGCAUAACAAAACACCAGUCACUGGCUCCAUUUUUCUCUCUUUCACCCUCUGUCAGCAAGACUGUUUGGGUUGAAAGCACGCCUGAGAAAUCCUUCAGCCAGUGGUUUGCCUGCCUGGAGCCCUCUCAGGACCCCGGCCGCCCGAUUGUGUUCCUCAUGUUCCUCAGGAGGCCAAUAAUCUGCACAGCACGUCCUUCCCCAGACCCCGACGCCAAGCGCCGACGCAGUUCAGCAGUCAUUUCACAUUGUCUUCAUCCAGGAAGCUUUCCUGUGCCCUGACCUCAAAGACUCUGUGGGAACACCCUCCGUGCACAUGGCUCUGGGUUUGAGAUGUGUGCUGUGGAACGGACGUGUUUUGUUGAUGCGUGGCACGACACAAAGCUCCUUCUGCAUUUUCCCGUCAUGCACGGCUCCUGCCUUGAGCUCAGCAUCUCUGUGCUGUGGGGAGAGGUGCCCCGCAAGCACAGAUGGAGUGGGGACUGAGGGAGAUUUCUCUGGGGCUGCAGGCUCAUUCUGCCAUAUGCUGUUCUCUCGCCUUCCGCAUUCUGUCAGGCACACUGGCCACUGGCUGGCAGAGAGGGACAAAGAUGGAGAGGCUUUCAUCAGUUGCAAGUCUUCAAUUUCUAGCCAUUUCAACAACUCCUUUACGUACAAAAGCAAAGUGUCAAUUUAUGCUAUUUAUUUGGGGAAAAAAGUUUCUCUCCACUAUAAGCUAAUUUUCCAGGAAUUCUGUAUGAUCCCAGAAAAGUAAGCACUUUAAAUGAGCCUGUUAUAUGUAAUAGAAAAAUGAUUUGAAAACUCCAAUGGAUUAAGAUACAGUUUUAUUACCUGUCAGUUUUCGUUUCCUUGAAUGUCUCAGUGAGCAUAACAUUCUUUAUGCAUCUUGGCACAACUUAAAUUACAGGCUCGCUUAUUUUUUAUUUUAAACAUAAAUAAAAUUUAUUAUCACCAGAGCAGGUGUGAGUCCCAGCUUUUUAUACUAUCAGACCUGCAGAGAGUGAAAGAAAUGUUGUCCUUAUGCUUUCUGGUAGCUUUUCAAAAAUCUUUAAUCCUAUCGUCGGUCUGUUGUUCCUUCUUUACUUCCUCCUAUGUAUUUGUUCCGUUUGUGUUAAUAUAUGUAAAAUGGCCAAAUUAUUUUAAUUCACUAUCCCUGUCUUUAGCACUUUCUUCCAGUUAAACUACAUUUUGAUGAAUUUUAAGGGGUUGACUUUUAAGUUUCAAAUGGCACCUUCUCUUGUCAAGUUAAUAUUCUUAAAAUGGUAAGAAACUUUCCCAGACAAGGGAGACAACUCAUCAAAGUAACCCUUACUGGACACAUGCCUUCAGCUUGGGGACCAUUAAGUGAGUUCACUCCUACAAUCACAGCUAUAAUCAUUUUGGGCAGGAGUAGUGACUGGUCCCAUUGAGUGACAGUGGCCCCAAGAGAAGUUUUGUGGGGAGAGGCAGUGGUUCUUCACAAUGUCUGCUUAGUGAGGCACCUGGGACAUCUUUACAGGGUCUAAGAAAAGUUCCCUGGAGUUCCCUGGUGGCUCAGCGGGUUAAGAGCCUGGCAUUGUCACUGCUGUGGCUCUGGUUACUUGUGCGGAAGGGUUCGGUCCCUGGCCUGGGAAUUUCUGCAUGCCACAGGUGCAGUCAAAAAAAUAAAAUAAGGGAGUUUUCAUUGUGGCUCGGCAGUAACGAGCCCGACUAGUGUCCAUGGGGACACAGAUUUGAUCCCUGGCCUCCCUCACUGGGUUAAAGAUCCAGCAUUGCCAUGAGCUGUGAUGUAGGUCACAGAUGUGGCUCAGAUCUGGCAUUGCUGUGGCUGUGGUGUAGGCCAGUGGCUACAGUGCCGACUCUCCCCCUAGCCUGGGAACUUCCACAUGCUGUGGGUGCAGCCCU